rnacentral:rRNA from 1 species
UACGUAGGUGGCAAGCGUUGUCCGGAAUUAUUGGGCGUAAAGCGCGCGCAGGUGGUUCCUUAAGUCUGAUGUGAAAGCCCACGGCUCAACCGUGGAGGGUCAUUGGAAACUGGGGAACUUGAGUGCAGAAGAGGAUAGUGGAAUUCCCAGUGUAGUGGUGAAAUACGUAGAGAUUGGGAAGAACACCAGUGGCGAAGGCGGCUAUCUGGACGGUUACUGACGCUAAGACUCGAAAGCGUGGGGAGCAAACAGG